CAGUAGCCGCGGUAAUACGGAGGGUGCAAGCGUUAAUCGGAAUUACUGGGCGUAAAGCGUGCGUAGGUGGUGGUUUAAGUCCGUUGUGAAAGCCCUGGGCUCAACCUAGGAAUUGCAGUGGAUACUGGAUCACUAGAGUGUGGUAGAGGAUAGUGGAAUUUCCGGUGUAGCAGUGAAAUUCGUAGAUAUUGGGAAGAACACCGGUGGCGAAGGCGGCAACCUGGCUCAUUACUGACGCUGAGGCGCGAAAGCGUGGGGGGCAAACAGGAUUAGAUACCCCAGUAGUCCCUGUCUCUUAUAC
rnacentral:rRNA from 1 species